UACGAAGGGGGCUAGCGUUGCUCGGAAUCACUGGGCGUAAAGCGCACGUAGGCGGCUUUCUAAGUCAGGGGUGAAAUCCUGGAGCUCAACUCCAGAACUGCCUUUGAUACUGGAGAGCUUGAGUCCGGGAGAGGUGAGUGGAACUCCGAGUGUAGAGGUGAAAUUCGUAGAUAUUCGGGAAGAACACCAGUGGCGAAGGCGGCUCACUGGCCCGGUACUGACGCUGAUGUGCGAAAGCGUGGGGAGCAAACAGGG
rnacentral:rRNA from 1 species